UGUUGGUCUUCAGUCAGUUCAUACUGAUACAGCUGAACCAGUUAUUCAAAGCCAUCCAUUUUUAUUAGUCACAGUUUUUGUUGUUAUCCAUCAGCACAUGGAUUACUCCAAUUAUUAAGAAUUUUGAACAUCAUUCCUACAGAAACCAGGACUUUUGAAGAAAUGGCUGACUCCAAAUAUGGCACAGGAAACAGAAAAAAAUGUACCUGGGAUAUCUUGUCACUUCUGAAAGCAAGGGCAACAUCAAUGAAAAAAUCAAAACAUACCUGGUAAAGGGUCCAAAACAUCACUAUGAGUAGGAAGAUAAGCAACCAAAGUCACAACAAGAGAGCAAGUAACACAUUCCAAAAAACAGGCCUGAAGGGCCAGGCCCUGGGCAGUGUAUAACCCCUCUAUAAUAUAGUAGUCUCACAGGUG